rnacentral:rRNA from 1 species
CGUAACGCGUAUGCAACCUACCUUAUACAGGAGGAUAGCCCAUGGAAACGUGGAUUAAUACUCCAUAGCAUCAUAGUAUUGCAUAAUACAGUGAUUAAAACUUCGGUGGUAUAAGAUGGGCAUGCGUAGGAUUAGCUUGUUGGUGAGGUAACGGCUUACCAUGGCAACGAUAGGUAAGGGGCCUGAGAGGGUGAUCCCCCACACUGGUACUGAGACACGGACCAG